UAAAAAUAAGCAUCACCAUGCGUUUUUGCAACUUAAAAAUAAAAACUCAAGGUCAAGUGAAGUGAAUAUUACACCAAGAACAAGAACUAGUUCACCUGUUUCGUCUACUAAUUUAACUAUUACCAAUACUAAUAAACCUGCUGAGAUAGAAAAUAACUUCAUGGAAUUGUCUGAAAUUGCGAUUUACGAUGAUACUGGUCUAAGUAUUUUAUUUGUGCAAGAUCAAACGUAGCUUUAGAAUCUAAAUAUCAAUUGUUCAUAACCAAUAACCAGUCAACUAAUGAUGUGUAAUUACUAAAAGUAUCGAUAUCGAUAAAUUUAAAUUUUGGUGUUCUCACUUAACCUUAAUACUAUUUAUGAGGACAAGUGUAAUGAAAUAUAUACAAAAUAUUCAAUAAUUUUUUUCAGACUGAAUCCUCCAAAGAUGGUCAGAGUAAAGACUUGUGGAAACAGACUACACUCAUAGAUAUGUUUGAAAGAAGUUCAAGCUAUGAAGCAGGGGGUCAUAAAACUAGCCAAAUAAAUCAAGCUUUGAUCUACAUGAUUUGCAAAGACAACAUGCCUCUAUCUUGUGUAGAAAAAUCAGGAUUGAAAAGAUUUAUGAGCGUCAUUUGUCCACGCUAUAAAAUUCCAUCACGAACUACUAUAACUGGCCUCAUGGAACAACGAUACGCCACUACCAAAGCCAUUUUAAAACAAAAAUUAAGUGAGAUAAAUAAUAUUGCUUUAACAAGUGGUUGGCAAAUAUCUCCCUUCCGCUUUUUUGCUCUUUAUUCAAUGCUUUAUAAAAAGUGUUACAGUGAUCGGAUUUAGUUCAAAUAUGCGCCGUUUUGUUCGAUAA